CCUACGGGUGGCAGCAGUAGGGAAUAUUGCUCAAUGGGGGAAACCCUGAAGCAGCAACGCCGCGUGGGGGAUGAAGGUUUUCGGAUCGUAAACUCCUAUUGGUAGAGAAGAAAAUGACGGUAUCUAACGAAUAAGCCCCGGCUAACUCCGUGCCAGCAGCCGCGGUAAUACGGAGGGGGCAAGCGUUAUUCGGAAUCACUGGGUGUAAAGAGCGCGUAGACGGGAGAGCAAGUCAGCUGUGAAAUCCUAUGGCUUAACCAUAGAACUGCAUUGGAAACUGUGAGUCUAGAGUGUAGGAGAGGUAAGUGGAAUUCUUGGUGUAGGGGUAAAAUGCGUAGAGAUCAAGAGGAAUACUCAUGGCGAAGGCGACCUACUGGACCGUAACUGACGCUGAUGCGCGAAAGCGUGGGGAGCAAACAGGAUUAGAUACCCCUGUAGUC
rnacentral:rRNA from 1 species